rnacentral:rRNA from 1 species
GAUGAACGCUGGCGGCGUGCCUAAUACAUGCAAGUCGAGCGAACAGACGAGGAGCUUGCUCCUCUGACGUUAGCGGCGGACGGGUGAGUAACACGUGGAUAACCUACCUAUAAGACUGGGAUAACUUCGGGAAACCGGAGCUAAUACCGGAUAAUAUAUUGAACCGCAUGGUUCAAUAGUGAAAGACGGUUUUGCUGUCACUUAUAGAUGGAUCCGCGCCGCAUUAGCUAGUUGGUAAGGUAACGGCUUACCAAGGCAACGAUGCGUAGCCGACCUGAGAGGCGGAUCGGCCACCCUGGAACGGAGACGCGCUCCAGACUCCUACGAGAGGCAGCAGUAGGCAAUCGUCCGCAACAGGCGAAAGCCUGACGGAGCAACGCCGCGUGUGUGGUGAAGAUCUUCGGAUCGUAAAACCCUGUUUUUAGUGAAGAACAGAUGUGUAAGUAGCUAUACACUUCUUGACGGUACCUAGUCAGAAAGCCCCGGCUAACUACGUG